UUGGCGAUAGCGUAUUGUGUUCCAGGUGUGGAUGAGCGAUGGCAGAAUGCCGGCUCCGGGAUGGGGAAGAAGGCGAAUUUUCUGGCCGCUGGUCGCACUGGAAUCGCCAGGAAGCGAUGCGGAUGUUUUUCGCUCAAGGCAAGAGCCGUGAUCCAGAUUGAUGAGGAGGAGCAGAGAAAUGGGGGCGAAUUUCCGCUUGUGGAGCUGCCAAUGCCGCCGCGAGAGGAGGAAGCUCCCGCGAGCUCUUCGCCAGGUCGGAGCAUUACGGUGUCGUCGUCUGUGACUGAUAGUGAGGAUUCCAGCGAUCGCUUUGUGAUUCGCAACAAUCGAGAGAUUUAUCAAGAGAAAGCGUUUCUCGUGGGAGUCGAGAUGAAAAGGCAUCGCGCAUUGUUUAGCAUCGAUGAGUCACUCAAGGAGCUCGAGCAGCUUGCCGACACAGCCGGACUGGCCGUGGUUGGAUCCACAUAUCAAAAGCUAGGUUAUCCAAAUCCGAGAACUUACAUGGCGUCUGGGAAAGUUGCGGAGGUGAAGACCGCUGUCCAGGCUCUAGACGUUGAGACGGUGAUCUUGGAUGACGAAAUAUCGCCGGGGCAGCUAAGAAACUUAGAAAAGGCAUUUGGUGAUGACGUUCGGGUUUGUGACCGCACAGCUCUGAUUCUCGACAUCUUUAGCCAGAGAGCAGCGACGCGUGAAGCGGCUUUGCAGGUAGAGCUGGCUCAACUUGAGUACCAGCUGCCGCGAUUGACAAAACUUUGGACUCACCUUGAAAGACAAGCAGGAGGUAUGGUGAAGGGUAUGGGAGAGAAGCAGAUUGAAGUUGAUAAACGUAUCCUUAGAACAAAGAUUGCCGAGCUGAGGAAGAAUCUCGAGUCGGUACGUGACCACAGGCAACAGUAUAGAAACCGGAGAGCAUCGGUUCCUAUCCCUGUUAUUUCUCUGGUUGGCUAUACAAAUGCUGGCAAGAGCACACUUUUGAACAAGCUUAGUAAUGCUGGUGUUCUAGCAGAAGAUAAACUUUUUGCCACACUAGAUCCUAUUACGAGACGUGUACAGCUUCCGAAUGGAAAGGAAUGUUUGUUUACAGAUACUGUGGGUUUUAUCCAAAAGCUUCCGACACAACUUGUUGCCGCAUUUCGUGCAACGUUAGAAGAGAUCAGCGAUUCGUCUUUGAUCCUACAUGUUGUAGAUAGAAGUCAUUCAAUGGCACCUGAACAAACAAAAGCUGUUGACGAAGUUCUUGCUGAGCUAGAUGUUCAACACAUUCCUCGACUUUCAGUGUGGAAUAAGAUUGACAAAGCUGAGGAUCCAGAUGCCUUGAGAGCGGAAGCCAAACAACAAGGUGCAAUCUGCGUAUCAGCCUUAACCGGAGAAGGCAUUCAAGAAUUUUUUGACGCUGUGGAAACAAAACUCAAGGAUUUACUUGUGCGAGUGGAAGCCAUUGUCCCGUAUAGCAAGGGGGAUCUCGUGGACAUGAUCCACAGGCGUGGUGUUGUGGAACAUGAGGAGUACACAGAUUCAGGAACACUAGUGAGAGCUCAUGUUCCUCUUGCCCUGUCCAAACAGCUGCUCGAGUACCGUGAUCAGGUCCCUUUUAUGUAGUUUCAAGUGAAGCCAGUGUCUAAUAUGUACAGAUGCUUCAAACUUUACAUUUUAAAUCCAGAGCUCUUGGCAAACGAAGUGAUGGAUUUCGAAGUCGCUACUCUUUGCUGCCAUUCAGGAAAGCCGCUUGCCAAAGGUAGUGCCAAGCGCUGUGCCUGGCUUUUGCGAAUAACUUUGUCAACAGAUUUUCCGACUACGCUGGAGCUGCUCACGUCUACAGGAGGUACGGUUCUCCAAACACCAAGGAAGUAGGGGACGCAAUUGCAGCGCUGGAGGGCGGUGAUUCAGGUAGAUUUUCCAGUUUAGUAACGUUGCGGACAUUCCAGCGAUUUCAAAGUUGUACAAGAAAUAUGGAUGCGUUCUUGUCGUGGACAAUACUUUUGGUA